AAUGUAUUUUUGAUUUAUCAAACGAGUCUACGAAGAUGUCUAUUCAUAACAAGCAUUUCAUUUAUGAUUUGUUUGGAAUACGGCUCUUUCGGCUCAAUUGAACGCAACGGACGUGAUUGCAAGUCCUUGUUGAACUUCUGUAUAUAUCAUUUACAUUCUUAACUGAGUGUAUCUAAGAUAAUAGAGUUCGCUUUCUAUUGGUGACGGGAUCUCCAAUCACUUUCGAGUGAGAGUGAGUGAUCUAAUCCUUUAGGGAAAACUCGGGCGACCGCUGUAAUACUUUCUUUUUAAAACAGAGGAAGAUUGCGGCAAUAACAGGUCUGUGAUGCCCUCAGAUGUCCCGGGCCGC
rnacentral:rRNA from 1 species